UACAGAGGGGGCAAGCGUUGUUCGGAAUUACUGGGCGUAAAGGGCGCGUAGGCGGCCUGCUAAGUCGGACGUGAAAUCCCCGGGCUCAACCCGGGAGCUGCGUCCGAUACUGGUUGGCUUGAAUCCGGGAGAGGGAUGCGGAAUUCCAGGUGUAGCGGUGAAAUGCGUAGAUAUCUGGAGGAACACCGGUGGCGAAGGCGGCAUCCUGGACCGGCAUUGACGCUGAGGCGCGAAAGCCAGGGGAGCAAACGGG
rnacentral:rRNA from 1 species